UCUCCUUGCUUCCUUUUUCCUUCAGCAACUGUUAAUACUACAAGAAGCAAUAAAUCCUAGCAGAUUUUGUUUUGGUUCAUUUGGUUUUUUUAUUCUAGAUUUGUUCCUAAUGAAAGCUGCAGCUGAUAUCCUUCCUCAGGACGUCCAGAAGCUCUUUGGAGAAGUUGAAGAUUAUCUGGAAAACUUACAAAGUGAGAACCUUAGUGCUAGAGCACGGAUACAGAGAGAUGAAAUUCUAUUUGAUAUUGAACAACUUAAAGAGAGGUAUCAGUGGGGAUUCCUACCAGGAGAUGAGAAUAGUAGACAGAAGGCUACUGAAGAUCAAGAAAUCAUUUUAAAACAAGGCUAUUUGGAAAAGAGAACUAAAGACUCCAAAAUCUUUGGCUCUGAAUGGCAGAGGCGUUGGUGUGUUCUUGACAAUACAGCUUUCUACUAUUAUGCAAAUGAAAAAAGCAAACAACCAAAAGGCAUAUUUGCUAUUGAGAACUACCAUGCUCAGCUAGUUCCCUAUCUGCGCAAGGAUUCCCGAAGAGAUUGCUGCUUUGAGUUGACUUCUCCUGGUAAACGAACCUAUGAGUUCACAGCUGCUAAUCCUGCAGAAGCUAUAGACUGGGUUGAUCAUAUCACAUUUCUGCUGAAAGAUAUGAACUCCUUCAUUAUCCCCUGUGAGGAAGAAGAGGAGGAGGAGGAAGAAGAAGAGAAGGAAAAGGACUACAGUAAUACUGAUAAAGAAGAGGCUUAUGAUGACAUAGAGAGUUUUGAUACCCCAAGUGUAACAUUUAGUCAGGAUUUCACUUUGGACCUGGACAAAGAGGAACCCAUGGUGCAGGAGAAAGAGUGCAUUUAUGAAGUUCUUCCAGAUGAGGACCACAACGUGUUUGCUCAGGAUGACAGAGAAAAUGCUGGUGAUAUCAAAAAUAAAGGAUUCAUAAGACGUUACGCAAAUUAUUAUCAAAGUCUGUGGGACUGCACUGGGGGCCACCAAGAUGAACUUUCCUUCCAAAGGGGAGAUUUGAUAUACAUCAUUAGCAAGGAAUAUAACAUGUAUGGUUGGUGGGUCGGAGAACUGAACAACAUGGUAGGGAUUGUCCCAAGGAACUAUCUCAUGCCUGCCUAUGAUUUGGAAGAAUGAUGAACAACAGAAAAAGCCUGAAUUAAACCUGAAGGAAUAUUGUCUCUGGCUCCAUCUUCUGGCCUCUUUUCUUUGCAGAAAUAAUUCGUGGGUUCUCCUGGCUAUUCAUAAGAAACAGAUGCACACCUGCAGAAGUUGACUCCAUCAACCCUUUGUCCUCCUUUAUAUGGAAAUAUAAUGUUUUAUUCCUUAACCUUUAGUCAUUAUGUGUUUUCAUUCUUCUGGAAUUUUAUUCACAGGCCACAAUCAUCAGGCAUGCCAGCUGUAUACUGUACUUCAGAAGAUUUGCCACUAUGAUUUUGGAAGAAAGAAUCUGUUUUCUCAGAACUAUCAAAAAGUAAAAGGAUGUCUUGCUGAUAUUCCAGAAUAAAUACUAUUGUCACUUUCUGAUUGGAAAGUGUUUAUUAUGCUGGAAUGUUCCUUUUUAAUUAGCUGGUCAAUUUUUAUUGGGCCACAAUGCACCAGUAGUGAAUAUAAUUUUUAGAAUAAAAUACUCAAAUAAAAUGACUGAAAAGGAAGAAAUUUAAUUCAGAUCAGAAAAAUGCUCAGGGUCAUUUUCAAUAAAUAUAAGUACGAAUAAAGUUUAAAGGCAAUCUGCUUGGGUUAAUGUUUAAUUUAAAAAAAAAAUUCAACAGAAUCUUUAGAAUAAAAGUAUAGUCAACAUUUUCCUGGCUGUAAAAUUUGAUGUAAUUGUUGAGAACACAUAGUUCUUAAACUGGAAAAAAAAAGUUUGUGUUGUUAUUCCUUAUGCAGUUUAUUAUUCAGUUUUACACAUAUACUUUUAUCUUUCUAUAAAUGUAUUUAAGACAACUAACAACAGUAAAAUUCAAAAUAAAAAUGUGACCUAAGAAAUAAUUAUUUUUUUUAAUUUUUUAAAUAAUUUGAAAAUAUAUAAAAAUCAAAUGGAAGUAUACUUAAAAUAAUAUUAACAUUAAAAAGCAAGUUACAAACACAACACAGCAGAAAAAAAAAUAAAGGAGUUAAAUGGAUGAAACAUCAAUUUAUAUAAAAAUGAGGUAAUGUUUUUCCAACUUAGAAACUUUAAGAUGAGUCAAUUUCAUUUCAAAUUCCCCAGCAGCCUGCUUUAGAAUUUUACAGAAUUAUGUAUGAUGUAAAAAGCAUGCUGACUGGAGAAUUAUGGGAGUAAAGGUCCACAUGUGCUAAAACUGACAGGUUUGAAAAAUACUGAAACACAGUAAAUGAAUCUCCCUUGAUAAGAAUUCCAGAAUCUGACCCUAGCUUUAAAUUCUUUUUUCAGUUUCCACCAAACACACAUCCCACAGUGUCAGUAAGGGAGUAUUUUUGUGAAAUUUUGAAAUAUUGACAAGUUUAUAUUGUAUGGCAGAGAGGCUGUUCUCUACAUAAUUAUCACUCCCUUAUAAUUAACUGCCUAUGCUGACCUUCAAAGGUAUUUAUGUAUAUAUGUGUCAUGCUUUCUCUUAUAUAUACAUACAUAUCUAGAGAAGUUUUUUUUUCUCUCUCCAGCAGACUCACCCAAGAGACAAGAGAAGCCUUUGGGGUGCGGUCUCAGCUCCUUCAGGCUUCUCUGGGCCAAAAAGUGUUUACAAAGGGACAGAAGGCCUGAAGAUCAUGAGAUCACACACACACACACACACACACACACACACACACACACACACACACACAGAAGUUUUUUGGCCAUUUGCAAAAGCUUUUGGUGUGGAGAAGAGAAGCCUUGGGAGUGCAGUCUCGUGCUCUUUCAGAUUCACUAAGACUGCCCAACUCUCCAAAAGCAGAUUGAGUGUCCUGCACAGGUAGCCUCGAUGAGUUAGCAAAGCUGAGCAGACAGCUCAUCCCACUCAGCCUCUGCUCUCACCUCUCCGCUUCUGGAGCAUCAGGAGAGCGGCUUGGCAGCCCGGCUGGUGAGGGGAGAGGGGAACUGGGCAGCAUGAGCAGGGAGGGGCAGUGUGCAUGCAUGUGCAGUUCCACUCAUGCAAGAGAAGCCUUGGGGCACAGUGAGCGCAAGUGGGGCUGCGAGCGCCAGUGCCCCCCAUGAAUAUGAGUGGGGCUGCGAGCACUGGUGCCCACCACUAGUGUGAGUGAGACAGUGUGUGGGAAUGUGCUAGCCCGCCACUCACACAGCUCUGUUGUGAAUAGGCCACAACCUGGUAGUGGGCCAUAGCCCACAGGUUGGGAACCCCUAUUUAAUAUCAUCUAAUGAAUCUUCCAGAUCUGCAACUCUUAAUUGCGAGUUCAAUGCAAGAUGGUUGAACAAGCUGUGAUAUAUACAGUUUGAGGUAUGUAAUGAAGGCAAACAUCCUCAAGGGAUGUGACAAUCCAUUGGGUUUUUUACUUGCUAGAUUAAUAAAUAAAUAAAUUUGGAUAAAAAUAUAAUUUUAUUAAAUGUUCUGUUUUUAUUUCAAAAUCAAAUGAAAACCCAAAGUAAUCUGGCUGACUGCAAAAUAUAUUUGCAGCCAGUUCCUAUCAGGUUUAUUUUCUAAAAUUGGAUAUUUGGGAUUACCGGUUUGCUUAGACUAGAAGUCAUAUUCUGUGCCAUGGAAAUCCAACCAUUAUUUGUAAAGACUAUCUGCACGUACUUGGUAAUAACAGAUAUGUACUGUGUGCCCGAAGACACUACUUUUUUUCAUGGUUACCUCUAAUUUUCUCAUUCUAGCUCUAAGACCACAUAUUGAUACACAUGAAUGCAGGAUCUAAAUAGGUUACAAAUACCUUAGGUACUUUUCCUUGCCUACAUCUAGAUAUGUGGCAGUCUUUCUUGUCUGAAAAAGGCACACUGUUGUACAGUUCAGCUGGGGACACAGAGAGGACUCUGCAGUCACAGUCUGGAAACGCAGAGUCUAGCACAAUGGGGACUGUGGAAGUCCAUGGCUGCAGUAUUGUCACAGUGCUAUUCUGUGACAACUGAGAUUAUAAAAGGGAUCAUUCCUUCCCUGUCUAAUUUUGAAUCUGGCAAUAUGCAUUUUAUUGAGCUGCAUCUUCUAUGUGGGAAAACACAGUUAUGGGAGUAUCACAUAGAGAAUAUAUUCCAGGCAUAUAAGUAAUGAAAGCCACAAGAUGGCAGUAGCUAACUGCUCAGCUAAGGUAUCUGAAUUCCCACUAGAAGAAAAUAGUGGGUGGUGUUAUAGUACCUGGAAAAUAAUUCACAAAUACUAAAUAUGUAUUUUUCAGCUCUGUGUCAACAAAUCCAGUAAACAAAAUACAAAAGGCUGCACACUAAGUAUAGUUUGCAUAAGCUAGUUGAAAUGCAUGGCGAAUUUGUACCUAGCCCGUAUGCAAAUUUGCAUUCUUAAUGGAUCAGGUGACAUGAUAUUCAUUGGAAGUACAGGCACAUUUUUUUUCACUCAAAUAUUAACCAAAGGUAUUAAUCAGCAGAGAUACAUGAAUGAUAGAUCAUAGAGGUUGAAGGAGGAGGAGAAAUAAUAGAUGGACAGAUGGACAAAUGGAUAGGUGGAUGAUAGGAAAAGAAUACGGUUUCAAGGAUUAUAUGUUGUAGAUGGAACAACCACUCACCAGUUACUUGGUUUGGAUGAGUUUUGCUUAUCAUACCCUGUUUGUUUCCAAAGAUAUCUGGCCAUUUUGGAGAUCAGAUGCUGGAAUGGUGGUGGUUUAACUGAAUCAACAAGAUAAAUCACACCAUUGACAACAAGCCUUUGCAAAAGGAAGCGAAGUGGGUAAAGGAACUCUCCUGGCUUCUGAAAUUAAGACAAAAUAACCCCAGACCCUACACUGAGCAGCAACCCCAGACUCUACAUUGGCAGCCCUCUCAACAGAGGGGGAGGCAUAAGAUAUUCCCUACCUCCAGUCUACAACGCAGCCUUGCAGCAGUUUCAAGAAAAUUUCACAACCAAUUGCACUCUGAUUCAGGUGACCAUGAAGGCAAAAAUAAACCCUCAAGUGGCCUCAAGAGUUCUCAGAGAGUACUAAUGACUAGAUAACUGCAAAGAAAUACAAUCCUUCCAUUCCCCACCACCACUAUCAGGUGAGAACCUAUCCUUCCAUUCCCCCUCCAGUCUCAACAGUACCUAUCCUUCCAGUCCCACCUCCCCCCCCCACCACCAUCACAAGUGAUGGAAGUUUUUGGGUUGAGAAGCAAAACGUUUUGUUCUUCAAGGAAAAAAUAAUUCAGUUGCCUUUUGAAAAAAGCACCUUUGAGACAACUAUGACCUGGAUGACUGAAAAUCUCCACAGACACCAAGACCCUAUGUUUGGAAAGUGAUGCUUAAAAUUCAUGCACUGCCAUAUUUGAUUCAGUUGAAAUGAUACACAUAUUUUUUUAAAUGUGUGUAGAAGUGACUGCUACAGCAAAGACUUCAGGACGCAGUGCUACCAUUCAGGAUUCCAGUUAUUUGUUCAGUCCUGUUCAUUUAACUUCUUCCCCUCCAUGCAAGUCUGAAUUCCAUAGACCUUCACAUCAUUAUGCUAUUAUUUUAGGUUCUACUCUGCACUUUUCUAAAUGUGUGUAACUUCAGCAUUCAGGGUUCUCCUUCCUCUUAUGCAUGAAACGAAUCACGCUUGCAAUAAGCAGCAGCAUUUAUAAUUACACAGAGGCAAUACAGCAAUCUAGAAUAUUCAACUGUUUUACAACUAUUCCUCCAGGUUAGCCUCAGAUAAAGUGUCCAAGAUUCCUUGGAGCUAUUGUAAUUAUAAAGCAAUCAUACAUUUAGAUCAGUGGUUCCCAACUUUUUCUAUACCCUGCAUCCCUAGAAUGCUUCUGAUAUUUUCUCGCACCCCUUACAAAAGUUAGAAAUAACAGCAACAAAUCUGCAUAUAAAUUAUAAUUUUGAAAACCCAAGUUUUCGCACCCCCUGGAAUAUCGUCUCACACCCCCAGAGGAUGCGAGCACCCCUGAUUGGAAACCCCUGAUUUAAAUGGUUACUGUAAAAUAAACCCAAAGAGAACAAUAAGUAGAAAGCCUAUUGAAAGUCAGAGUGUAUGUCCUGAAUGAGUGAGAUAUUUUGCAACUUGCUUCUGAUGUUAAAAAUGCCAAGAGAUCUCAUAAAUACUUGCCAGUUGCCAAGCCCCCAAAUUUUGAUCAUGUGAUUUGGGGAUGCGGCAAUUAUCACAAGUGCAAAGACUAAUUGUGAGUCACUUUUUUCAGUAGCAUCAAAACUUUGAAUGUUCAUUAAAUAGUCCUAAGUCAAAGAUAAUUGUUUUUAGGGUUAGCCAUCAUUGAAUGGAUGACCACCUUGGGCAAUCUAGUGAUAUUAUAUUUGAUGGUCAUUUGUUUAGUAACAAUUUUUAAAAGGCAGAUUCAUCUAUGAACAGUCUUUAUAUUGUUAUAAAUAUUACGCAUGUGCAAUGGGAAUAUAUCUUUGAUAAUGAAAUACUUGGCCAACAUCCCCCAUGUCCCCGAACUAGAAAGGUUGCCUGGGACAUUUGGCUGGUCAAUUGAGAAACAGACUGCUGGGCUGGGUGGUUCUUUGGGUCUAAAAUGUCAUAAUCAUUCUUAAGUUCUGGUUUAUGUAGACCUAGUCAUAACCGUGUGGGCCAAAUGACUCCAUCCUCCAGAAGGAAUGGUUGAAAUGGAUUUAUCCUGCAUUAUAAGACUUUGCUUGUACUUUCUAUAAGGCACACUUUGCUGUCACUGAGACCACUUGGACAUGGAGAGAGAGAGACAGAAGCACCUGGCGGGGUUAUUUGAAAACUUGGAGUUCAUUCUUCUGCAGGGACCAACUCAUAAUUACAGUCAUUUUCUAGCUGUGCGAUGAAUGUUUCAUCAGGACCUGCUGGGUUCUCUCUCUCUCUCUUUCUAACCCUCAUCAGUCACUACAAGGGCUCUUUAAAGAGACAGCAGCUCUACCAGCAGCAGCCCUCUCCAGUUCAUUUUGAACAGAUGUGCUUUAAUUUGGGAAGACAUAUUUGAACCUCUCAGCUCACAGGAAGCAGGGAUCACUGCUUGCCACAAAUUGUUUGCUCUCUUUCACAACUGUGUUCCCAGCAGAGGAAAAAUAAAGGUCAUGGUGCCCUGAGAAGUUUUCCUGCACUGGUGCCACUAAAAUAAAUGGGAGAGGUGUCCUAGUUUAUUCCAACCUGGAACAAAAUUUCCUAUUUCUAAAAUAAACUAUUAAUGUCUUCUCGUGCAUACAGUGCAAAUAUGCCAUAUUCCACUCCACAUGCUGCUACAUUCCACAUUUUCCAACUGAUGUCUUCCCAGUGUCCUGGUGUCUUCCCAGGUCCUGACACAUAAGGAGGCCACCCAGUUGGAAAGGACUGCCUCAAAGUGAUUUUUAAAAAAAGAAUCUGAGCUGUCUUGAUUCUCAAUAGCUUCCAGUAAAGGAAAGUAGAUGAUCACAGGAUUCGGUCCUCCUACCACAACUUCCAUUCUGCUAAUAUUCAAGAAUAUUUAAGAAUGCAAUUGACUGCACCCAUUUUUUUUUCUUGCAUUUUUCCCUAGGAAAAAAAUCUGACUUGAAGGGAUUUUGAUCUUAGGAGAGGAAAACUAUAUCACCCAUUGUCUCCUUCCUUUCAGCUUCUAAAUACAGCAGGCUGGAAGGUACUAAAAGGCAAAGGAAAUAUCCUGGUGGAGGGGUCAUAGAUCUGUUGGAUCCAAUAUUCUUCCAGUCCCUCAGCGUGCCUUCCAAUGUAAGAAGAACCUUAAGCCUGUGUUGAUGUUGGCUUAAAGGAUUCCAAACAAUCUCCACUCUCCAACCCCUGAAGAAAAAGUGUUUUAAAAAAAUCGCCUUCAUUUUGGCUGUUCUUGCACAGCUGUACUUUAAAUAUCUCACAGGUUCCAAAGUCCAAACCUGGAAUUGAAUGGCAGCCUUGCUUUGUUCCACAUAUAUAUAGUCCAUUAGAUCUUUCAAAGUACUUCACAUUAAAUAAUCCUUACACUAGUUUUACAUGGUGUUUAUUAUUUUCAUAUUGCAAGUGCAAAAGAGCAGCUACGGCUGGAAAAAGAGAAACUUAUUUUAGUAAUUGACCAAUUUGGAGUAAACUUAAAAUUAUGUCUCUUAUAUCAAACCAUGGCAAAUCAACCCUGAUGAGUUGGAGGCGAAGUGGGACAAUGUGGGACCCAGAUUUUUGCCCCAGCCUGAUGGCCUUUUCAUGUUAAAGGCUCUGAGGGAAAGGAAAAUCCAUUUUGAUUAAGAGUCACUUUCUUACCAUAUUACUCUGCCAGGGCUAAAACUGACAAUGAAUAAAACCAUUUAUUUCUUCCUCUCCCCUUUUGACUUCUGCUAUUACCUCCUCCCCACUUGUCCUUUUUCUCCCCACUUAGACAGUUGCCAGGGAAAGACAGAUGGUUAUUGCCAGAGGUCUGAACUGAUUACUCACAAUGGAAUUUGGAAAUUAAACCAAAGGCCACAGGUUUCCCAACCCUGAUCAAGCAAGUUCAGGAUUGAUGUGAGACAUGAAUCCAGAUCUCUUUUAUUCUUUUUACUUCUGUUGUUUCUUGUGUCAAAGACAAAAUGGGAAGCAUGUAAUUGGCCAAGAAUUAAAGCCAUCCUACUUUGUCCCACCCCAUCCCAUUUUAUACAUGCAAUACCCACACACUACUUUAAUCCCUUUGAGAUAACCCUUUGAUAAUAGCCAUCCUCAAGUCGCAGUGACUUUCUUGUGAGACUGUUUAUAAAAUGUGUUAAUUGACAUCCAACAGGAGAAGAGUUUAAAAAAAACCCUGCAAGAACAUGCUCUCUCAGCCUUGUGCCCCUAGUUGUUUCCUGCUUGAGAACCAAUACUUGGCACAAGAGGAAUUCCAAGCUUGCAAUUUGGUGCACUAAUAUAAGGGGACCUAUGUCCAUUCAGGUAGCUGGUGCUACAAACUUCCAGAUGAAUAUUGACUGGUGAAUUUAUGUAAAGCACAGUUCUCCUAUUGGUAAAAUAAUCUGCCAGGUUUCUCCAAUGCACUAUAGUUUAUACAGUAAUUGGUGCUGCUGACUGGAAAUCACAACACCAAAGAGGAUAAUCUUGUGUAUUUCUAUUGAUCUCUCAUUGCAAUUGAGCAUUAACAUAUUUAAAGCAGCUUAGUGAUCCUUACAAUAACCUAGCAAAGUAGUUCAAGGCACCCCUCUACUCUUAGCCUUAAUGAAGGCCUCAGUAAAGACUAAUCCAUUAAUAAAAAUUAUAAAUUGAUAUUUUUAUUUCUAGAAUUGGCACCCAUUUGGAGAGGGAAUUUCAUUCCCUUGGGAAAUUAAAUAAUGACAUAUUAGGACAUGAUUGAAGAAUAGAGAAUUCCCUCCCCUUGAAAGUGGAAUGGGCCUCUAGCCCUAAAUCUGAGAGACCAUUUUAAGUAGUUUAGAGCUGUGAUUUCUUAAUAGAAAAAUGGAGACUCUGAUGAUUAUUUUCUAUAUAUCAGUAUAUCCCAGACAGCUACAAAAGCACAUUUUUAAAAAACUAUAAAAAUAUCUCUUUGGAAAGCAUAUUCCUGAGCUUUGAAAACUUUCUCUGUAUCCCAGAUUGUAUAUAUAUACCUGGCCAUGAAGGAAAUGUACUCUGCACAUGCUGAAUGGACUCUUCAUUAUUUUGCAACUGAGUGGCCUCUGUGGAGGGGAAGCAUCAGAUUCAGAACCAAGUUUAAGUAUCUUUAGAGCUAAUUGUGUUCCCAGCAUUUUUUAUUUUAAAGUAGGUUUAUACACCAAAAAAAUGCCAGUUUACCCGGAACUGAUUUUUUUUAAGUUAUUAAUAUUAAAUAUGAAUUAAUUACUCUAUAAUGAUGCAUUUAUUAAUUUGCCCUUUUGUGUUGGAACUGAGUAAUCGUUUCUAGUGAUCUCUCUGUGGUGCACCUUAAACUUUCAGAAGGCUGCAUUUGAUGCUGUUGGCAGGGCUCAGCUCAGCAUCAGUAUCUCAGACCCAAAGAGCAGAGAUUGGUAUUAGGAAAAGGCAAAACCUGAAAGGGAGGGUUGUCUUUGUUUUCAAAGGAAACAUCAACUGAAAACAUCCCAAUCCAGGUGCGCUAUGUCAGAUUUUGGUGCUGGAAAGUUCUGACUGAAAUCUUGGUUCAAAUCAAGUCUGGUGAUUUCUCUCUCUCCCUGGCAGGGGCUGCCCUUGGAGCAUCAAACACAGGAUUCGUGUCCAGGCCUUGAUGGAGAGAUGCAUCUCUUUUUCUCUCAGCGUCUCAGAUGGCUGCCCACAUCUCGAUCCACAGCUGCCACCCUGCCACCCUGAGCUUAAUGAGCCUGUUAUAGCACAGCACUCAACCUCCCUCCCUCUUUCUUUCCCUCCCUUUUCCCCUCUCUUUUUCCCUAAUCACCACCCUGAAAUUUCAGGCUGCUGGCAGGCACAGCAGAAAUUACUUUCUCUAUUUUAAAACAACAACAACAACAACCACAAAAGGGCAACCGGCUGCCAAGAGAAACUUGGAAUGGAGCAGAAGGCAGAGAGACUUGGGGAGCCUUAAUGAUGCUCUGUCAGAAAUCCAGCCAACAGCAGGGGGAAAAGAAAGAAACAAGCUGGGGGAGAUGUUCAUGUCUCCAACACUAGACCCAGCUACCAGCUUGUUGUUGGGGGGGUGGGGGUGUUAUCCUCACACACCCAGAAAAUCAUGGUUUGAAGCAACCCAUCAGGAAGAAGCAACCCUUCAGUGAGGUUUUUUCAGCAUCUUUUGAGGUAGAAGGUGAAUGAAGCAAACUAGCCUUCAGAGAUGGAGCAUCUUUCCAGCAGUUUCUCUUAGAAGAACCCAGCAGAAAUGAGAAUCACCUGAGCGUGUUCAAUUGUUAUUUCCUCCUUCCUUCUAUAAUAAUGAUUCAAAGAAGAUUCUCAGCUCCAAGCAAUCACUUUCAGCCUCUGAAAUUUGAAACUGCAUAAUUAUGAUCAAAAAAGGAAAAGACAGACCAGCACUUGAACUAAGAACUCAUUAUCAAUAAAAGAACUUCCAAGCCAUUAGUCCUUUGUAGGGAGUCUAAUAAAUGGAUCCCAGGGUAGUAGGAAGAUUAAAUCAGCUUAAACUAAAAAUAAAGCAUGCAGAUGUUGAUAUUGCUGUCUUAUUCCAGCAGAGAAUCGUGUUUUUUUUCUUUUUAACUCAUGAAAUGCCACACAUUUUUACUACGUGAUUUCUAAAAGGAACGGAGAUUACAAUUCUGCACAUGUUCAGUGGUAUUGUAAUAGGACAACUGUUUACACAGCUACUGGCAAAUAAAAUUCCUACUUCCAGAAUUUGUAUAAGGUUGGAAGUUAAGAAGACUUGGAGAUUUUCUUCUUGCGUAUUGAAUGACACAUUCCAAGGAUAAACAUAUCAAAAGCUCAGCACAACUGAAUCUUGCUUCCAGGAUCCUUUGUGAAAGGUCAGGCUAACAAAGCCUUGUCCAAGCACGGUAGAGUCAGGAUGUCAUUUCUCGGAGCAAAAAUUAAAAAAACUUUCUAGACAAUUCAGACUAUUUAUAGGAAGAUUCUAGGCAGCUUCUAACCAUAGGAAAAAAUUCCACCGACUUUAAUAUAGAGCAUAUAUAGCAUUUUUAAAACCAGAUAACACAGCUGUAGCUAGCCAAUGCCUCUGGAAGAUAUUAUUAGCGUUGUGAUUCCAAAACUGCAUUAUGAAUGAUGCAAUCCUGGUACACCUGAAAGUCACGCGGUUAGAAAAGAAAUGAGCAUCUUUUAUUUGACAUCAAAAAUUGGUGUUCAGAGAGGCAGGUUCUAAUUACUCCACUUAAUAGUAAUGGACAGACUACCCCAUGUGAAUUGCCUAACUCAUUCUUAAAAUACCUAUAGGGCUCUCUUCUUGCUGAACAAGUCCUGGCUUCCAUUGCAUUGUGAUAACCCAGAGACAUUAUGGCCCAUUGGAUAACGGGGAAGAGAAGAAAUUCUGAGCUACAGCCUGCCCUCUAUUACACUCCCUUGCAUUAGAAAAUAUUCAGAUGGAGAAAAUAUCAAGUUGAGCACAACCCUCCUAACAUAGUCCUUGCUUUGCUGUGUUAGAUUUAUACUUACAAUCACUAUACAGUAUAGCUGAUUUUUUAAAAAAAGUAAUGGGAAUGUUCAAAAAUAAACAUUAACACUUGUAGCUUAAGAUUAGUAUUACUUUAUAUGCCUCCAUUGGUUAUUACUUUAUUUUGUAGCAUAUAUUAGAAGAAAUAGUCAACUAGAAGAGCAAGUCAGCUGCUAGAUGAAUAAAGCCAAUCAUUUUUGUAUGUCCUAAUUCUAUGUAAUAUCUCAUAUUGGAAAUAAAUGUAAAAACUGAACUUGGGUAAAAGUAAAACCCUGCUUAAAUUGCACUAACUCCUCUGGCUAUCACCUCCUUAUAUCUCUCCUAACUAGAGGAGAAAAGAGGGCUUCACUCAAAAGGGGACAAAAUUGGUGUGGAGUUUUCAAGAGGAUGGGAAAUCAAAUCUCCCAACAGCUCCAAGCAACUCUCUGGAAGCUUCGAAAGCUAAGCUGGCAAGGGCAGGUGGUUGCACAGCUGUGCCAUUUGGAUCAUGCGCUUCCAUCAAUAUUCAUGAGGCAGCCUGGCCAAUCAGCAGAGUAGCUGUCAUUAGUGAGCAUCUGGCUAGUGAGAAGAGGCUUGUUUUGAGUUUUUCUUUAAAGUGAACUUCUUUUGACAUUUUAAGAAUGUUCCUCCAUAGGUUUCAAAGUCCUCUUCCCGUGCCCUCACCUGUGUGCUUGGUUUAAUCCCUUAUGUGACAGAGGUCUAAAGUGCCCCUGAAAUGAAGAAUUGCAAUCUAAGAGGAGGAGGUUGACAACCAAUAUCACAUGACAAUUCUUUAAAAGCAUACUGAGUUCCAAAUUCCAAUAUUAUUUUGUACAUACCCUUCUAACACAAUACCCCACAGUCACACAAGUUACAUGACCCACUUCAUGCAUGAGUUCUUGGGAGGUCUUAUGGUACUGGAAGAACAUGAAAAAAAUUUAUUCCACCAAUUCUGUGCAGUUAAAAUAAUACAGCAAAUCCUAAAUCAUUUUCCACAUCCUGAUAUUCCAGGUAUAUUGGGACUAUGUUUCCCCAAAUUCCCAGCUAGUAUGCUGUUUAGAAAUUCCAUAGUUCGUAGUUCCAGUGCUUAGAGAGAGCUGUCCAAUAUACAUACACCCAUACACACAUGUAUAUAAUUAAGAGAAGAUACCAAUAGAUUUCUUCCUUAAUUGAGAUUUUGGAGGCACUUCAUCUCUAUACUCCAUUGUCCACCAUCAAGCAAAACUGUCCAAGAGUCUUAUCUGGUCCACGUUCCAAACACAAAUUAAGCCUGCAGAUUCAGCUAUGUCCCAUAUGCUAUCUUCAUCUAUAUCAGAAUCUACUUUUCCAUAAGCAAUGUACAAGUCCAUUUUAGGAAACUGUGUUGUAAGUAAAGCUCUCCAAUGGCCUUAUCUAUAGUAACUCCACUACAUCUUGUAAGGCAGAAAUGGGUGACCUACAAAGUUCUUGUGUAACAAUUAAAUUCUCUAACAUUUCCCUGCUACAAACAUACAUCUGUUAGUAAAGAUAAAACAGAAAGAUAAAUAUCCAUCUUUUUGUUUCUCCAAUUAAUGGUUGCUUUAAUUUUGACCAUCACACUGUUUCCAACAAAUUAUCUUUGAGGUAACAGUCAUCCAAGGAGAAAAAGUUGCCUUAAUAUCAGGGCCAGCUCAAGGGAAUAGGACAUUCCCCAAUCACAUUGACUGAAAGUGCCACCUCUAGCUAAUGCAAAGAUUUGCAUUUUUAGCAUUGGAAGAAAGGAUGGCAUUACCUAUUUCUUAGCUUCCUUCAAAUCAAUCUAUUGUAGCACAGAACUCGUUUGUGUGUGUAAUGAGAGUGUGUCUGUCCAAAACAAUCCUUAAUGAAAUUAAUAGCAUGUAUUUUGUUUGUCUUCAGGGAUGAAAGAUGCCAUGUUUACAGAUAAUAAAAGCCUUGCAUUCUCCAAAAGUAGAUGUGAUUGAAAACAAAAAAUUAGCCCUAAAUGCAUCCAUUAGAAAGGAUAUCACCUGCCUGCUUUUGAUUUUAGCCUAAAGAUUACUUGAGGCUUGAAAAGGGCUAUUUGGGUAGUAAAUUUAAUUCUGCCUGGAAGGCUUAAAAGGAGCUUUUCUAUUUUCUUUCAGUUUGGUUCUGAUUCUUCUUCAAACUCAUCCUGCUUUGUGCAUCCCUUUUUUCCAUUUCUUCAUUGCAUAUUCUUUUUUCCUCUUAUAUCAGCUACAUCUUUUUUCCCCCAUUUUCCCAUAUUUUACUAGAAAGAAGGCACACGAAAUAGAAACAUAUUUCUGUGUGAGAAUAGUUGAAAUAUGGGAUCAGUUAUUUGUAUCCCUUUAUUAUUUUUACAAAUAAGUCAAAGCAGCAAAUAUAUCCAACAUACCUUCCUCCUCCUAUUUUCCUCACAAUAUUCUGAGGUGAGUUGGGCUGAGACAGUGUGACUGACUCAAGAUCACCCAGCUGACUUCCUGGCUAAGUACAACUAGAACUCAUGGUCUCCUAGUUUCUAGUUUUGCCUUAAUCACUAGACCAAAUUGGCUCUCCGUUAAUUGUAUUAAUGUGGUACUUUCUUACAGACAAUUAAUUUUAAUUAGUAGUUAUUCAUUCAAACAUUCCCUGUCCUGGCCAUGCUAUUUUCUAAAGAAGUGAAGAAUCUUAAGUAUUGAUUUCAAAUAGAUUUGAUAACUCUUGGCUUAACAAGAUGGGAGACCCCAGGAUUUGGAUCAAGUUUGGUGUGAGAGAAAGAAAGAUAGUUCUUUGAAAACAAGGUUCAUCUUUGAGAACAAGGUUUUUCAUAAAUUCAGGGAUUUCUUUUCAAGUAAGCAUAAUGCACUUAUCAUGCUGUAAUUUUAUGACAAUACAUUACCAAUACAGCUGAGGAAAUCUGCUGAAUAUUUCUAUUUUGCAACCUGUUGCAAUUUUCUUGAUGACCCACACACUGAGAAACAUCAACUAAAGGCAAGGAACUUAGCAAUUCUAGUAUGGGUUUACUUACUCUACAAACUGUAACAUGAUGAAAGAAAAGGUGAUUCAUUUUCUCCCCAGGUCCUCAUCACAAACACUGAAGAAGCUUGAGUCAAUCCUCAGGUGGCGCAAGCAGCAGUGAAAUCAAUGCUUUGGUUAAAUAUAUGUUUAUACCUGGUCCUAUAAAGGUUCCACUGGGGGAAGAAACUGUUAUAUGUAUUAAGUCAAUUUUGAGACAAGAUUUAAUAUUUCCAGAUGUUCAUUUUGAACUAUAUUCUUAUGCAUAUAAAGAAAGUAGAUUCUGUGUUUAUAGUUAAAAGAUUUCAGCACUGGAAAAAUAAAUAUAUGGUCCCAACAAACAAAUCACUUACUGACAUAGUUCAGCUAUAGAUAAAGUGAAAUGCUUUGUGUGAGUGUGUGAACAUAUAUAUGUGAAUAUUUCACAUAUACAUGAAAGCAGGCCAUUUUUACAAUUUUAUUUUAAAUAUUUGUUUUAUUUAGUUUUCUCUAUAGCUUUAAAUAUUGUUCCUUUGUGUGCUCUAUAAUAAAGGUAAAAUUCAAAUUAAAAAUGACAUAAUCACAAGAUAGAGUGGGAAGAGAGGAAUAGGCAAUGUACUAGUUCUUUUUAAGUAAUAAUUAUUUUGCUUUCAUGUACAUUUGUUGAGAUUAUCACAAAAGAAGGGAACACAAAGAAGACAAAAAAACCUUUAAGUACUUUAGCUAAA